rnacentral:rRNA from 1 species
CUACGGGGGGCAGCAGUGGGGAAUAUUGGGCAAUGGGCGAAAGCCUGACCCAGCAACGCCGCGUGAAGGAAGAAGGUUUUCGGAUCGUAAACUUCUAUCCCGGGUGAAGAUAAUGACGGUAGCCCGGAAGGAAGCCCCGGCUAACUACGUGCCAGCAGCCGCGGUAAUACGUAGGGGGCAAGCGUUGUCCGGAAUGAUUGGGCGUAAAGGGCGCGUAGGCGGCCUUUUAAGUCCGGUGUGAAAGUCCUGCUUUUAAGGUGGGAAUUGCAUUGGAAACUGGAAGGCUUGAGUGCAGGAGAGGUAAGUGGAAUUCCCGGUGUAGCGGUGAAAUGCGUAGAGAUCGGGAGGAACACCAGUGGCGAAGGCGACUUACUGGACUGUAACUGACGCUGAGGCGCGAAAGUGUGGGGAGCAAACAGGAUUAGAUACCCUAGUAGUC